ensembl:lncRNA
GAUGAACCUGGCGGACUGGCAUAAAGUUGGUUUGACGUUGGACGUUCGGUAUUCGCAGAUAUGAGCAAAUUAAGGGACCGUCUCUAAAGUUACAUAUUGGUAUACAUGUUUCUAACUUCAAUAGCAUUUGAAGGGAAUGGUCAUACAACCAAAACGUAAAAGUGUUCAUCUAGGUGUCAGCUAUAACACACACCUUUUUUUUAAAAAUCAAAAACCUAAAAGGUGUGUAUCAUAUCUGACAAGUGUUCCUACAGGAACACAUUCCAGUUGGUUUUGUGACUGGAAGUCAUUCUCUUCAAAUACUACUGAGCUUUAAACUAUGGUCUAUUUUGUGUAUAUGUCCGUACGGUAUAAAAACAUCACAAUAUUCAAAUAUGAUUUGACAGUUUAUUUAAUUAAAUUUCAAAAAUCUAAAAGGUGCGUCCAACGUCAAGUCAACUUCAUACCAGUCCGCUAGGUUCAUCUUCUCUUGUGGUUUUAAGACCCGAAUUUUAAGACCCGAAUUUUAAGACCCCGAAUUUUAAGACCUGAAUUUUUGCAGCCUGAAUUUAUGAGGUUGAAAAAUAAUGUGUUGAAAAAUUACCUGUCGAAUAAUGAAGAUGGUAUUUCAACAAGUGAAUAUUUUGGAACCACAUUUAGGAAGCCCCACACGAAUUUAUGGAGAUACUAGAGAUCCAGAUCCUUUCUUCCUCUGGAUGGAGCUCAAAUCUUCUCUAAUUCCAGACUGCUGGGACUACGGCUGCUCCUAAGGCCGUACAGACUUCAUAUAAAUCCAUAAUGAACUUUUUCACAUUAUCUGUUGUUACCCAGAUGAGGAUGGGUUCCCUUCUGAGUCGGGUUCCUCUCAAGGUUUCUUCCUCUUAAAACAUCUUAGGGAGUUUUUCCUUGCCACCGUCGCCACUCAGUGGCUUGCUCAGUUGGGAUAAAUUCACACCUUUAAUAUCUGUAUACCAUGUUGAUAUUUCUGUAAAGCUGCUUUGAGACAAUGUCUAUUGUAAAAAGCGCUAUACAAAUAAAAUUGAAUUGAACUGAAUUGAAUUGAGCGUUUAAGCUUACGGCCCGCCUUUCUGUGGAACAGACAGCUUUCGCGACCAAUUGAAAAGGCC